GCCUCGGUGGUAGUAAUGGAAAGCACAGCAGACCGGAUAUCUGUAAGUGCGGGUACGAGUCCCGCCUGAG
rnacentral:tRNA from 1 species